CUGGGAUCCUGGGUGCCUCACCGGAUGGUCUGGGAUCCUGGGUGCCCCUCACCAGAUGGUCUGGGAUCCUGGGUGCCUCACCGGAUGGUCUGGGAUCCUGGGUGCCCCUCACCAAACGGUCUGGGAUCCUGGGUGCCUCACCGGAUGGUCUGGUGGUGGAGGUCAAGUGUUCCUAUGGUGCCUAAAAGGGACCUGACCAUUGAAGAGGAGGUCGAAUGAUUUCUAUAUCCAAGCGGAGGGAAGGUCUUACUGCCUCUGUGACGACCAUCCUUCCUGGCACCAGGUCCAAGUCCAAGGUCAGUUCCACAUCACCGGAAGGGACACCUGCUUCUUCGUUAUCGUGGACCACCACAGCCUCCCGUCCAGCGUGACGACCUCUGGCACACUCAUAUUGCUGGACUAGAGAAGUGUUUCAAGGACCACAUGCUCCCAAAGGCAGCACUGCAACAGUGAACUGUAGAUUUAUUGUAAAUAGGUUUUACAACAGUGAACUGUAGAUUUAUUGUAAAUAGGUUUUACAACAGUGAACUGUAGAUUUAUUGUAAAUAGGUCUUACAACAGUGAACUGUAGAUUUAUUGUAAAUAGGUCUUACAACAGUGAACUGUAGAUUUAUUGUAAAUAGGUCUUACAACAGUGAACUGUAGAUUUAUUGUAAAUAGGUUUUACAACAGUGAACUGUAGAUUUAUUGUAAAUAGGUUUUACAACAGUGAACUGUAGAUUUAUUGUAAAUGGUUUUACAACAGUGAACUGUAGAUUUAUUGUAAAUAGGUUUUACAACAGUGAACUGUAGAUUUAUUGUAAAUAGGUUUUACAACAGUGAACUGUAGAUUUAUUGUAAAUGGUUUUUAAACACUGUCACUGGAUCAUCAUUCUCGUCACGGGCCUCGUCCUCCUGUCAGUACCUGCUUUCAGGGAAGACGAUGGUCCAAAAAUAUUCCACAUAGUUCAUACACACACACGAGACUCCCAGAAUAAUGUAUAUUACACACACUAGACUCCCAGAAUAAUGUAUAUUACACACACUAGACUCCCAGAAUAAUGUAUAUUACACACACUAGACUCCCAGAAUAAUGUAUAUUACACACAUGAGACUCCCAGAAUAAUG
ensembl:lncRNA